GAUGAACGCUGGCGGUAUGCUUAACACAUGCAAGUCGAACGAAAGUUUUUAACUUUAGUGGCGAACGGGUGCGUAAUACGUGAGAAUCUGCCCUUAGGAGGAGGAUAACUACUGGAAACGGUUGCUAACACUCCAUAUGUCGAGAGAUGAAAUAACUUUGUUGCCUAAGGAUGAGCUCGCGCCUGAUUAGCUAGUUGGUGAGGUAAUGGCUCACCAAGGCCACGAUCAGUAGCUGGUUUGAGAGAACGAUCAGCCACACUGGGACUGAGACACGGCCCAGACUCCUCCGGGAGGCAGCAGUGAGGAAUUUUCCGCAAUGGGCGAAAGCCUGACGGAGCAAUACCGCGUGAGGGAUGAAGGAUUUUGGUCUGUAAACCUCUUUUCUCAAGAAAGAAGUUCUGACGGUACUUGAGGAAUAAGCAUCGGCUAACUCCGUGCCAGCAGCCGCGGUAAUACGGGGGAUGCAAGCGUUAUCCGGAAUCAUUGGGCGUAAAGCGCCUGUAGGUUGUUUAUUAAGUCUGUUGUUAAAGACUAGGGCUUAACCCUAGGAAAGCAAGAGAAACUAAUAGACUUGAGUAUGGCAGGGGUAGAGGGAAUUUCUAGUGUAGCGGUGAAAUGCGUAGAUAUUAGAAAGAACACCAGUGGCGAAAGCGCUCUACUGGACCAUUACUGACACUCAGAGGCGAAAGCUAGGGUAGCAAAAGGGAUUAGAUACCCCUGUAGUCCUAGCCGUAAACGAUGGAUACUAGAUGUUGCGUUUAAAUGCAGUAUCGUAGCUAACGCGUUAAGUAUCCCGCCUGGGGAGUACGCUCGCAAGGGUGAAACUCAAAGGAAUUGACGG
rnacentral:rRNA from 1 species